UACAGAGGGUGCAAGCGUAAUCGGAUUUACUGGGCGUAAAGCGUGCGUAGGCGGUUCAUUAAGUCGGUUGUGAAAUCCCUGGGCUUAACCUGGGAACUGCAGUCGAUACUGGUGGACUAGAAUGCGGUAGAGGGUGGCGGAACUCCGGGUGUAGCGGUGAAAUGCGUAGAUAUCCGGAAGACACCGAUGGCGAAGGCAACCACCUGGGCCUGCAUUGACGCUGGAGGUACGAAAGCGUGGGGAGCAAACAG
rnacentral:rRNA from 1 species